UGGGGAAUCUUGCGCAAUGGGCGAAAGCCUGACGCAGCGACGCCGCGUGGGCGAAGAAGGCCUUCGGGUUGUAAAGCCCUGUGGGGGAGAACGAACCGUACGGGGGCGAACACCCUCCGUGCCUGACGGUACUCCUUUAGCAAGCAUCGGCUAACUCUGUGCCAGCAGCCGCGGUAAGACAGAGGAUGCAAACGUUGCUCGGAAUUACUGGGCGUAAAGCGCGUGUAGGCGGUCUGGUAAGUCGGACGUGAAAUCCCGGGGCUCAACCCCGGAAGUGCGCUCGAUACUGCCGGACUUGGGUUCUGAAGAGGAGAGCGGAAUUCCCGGUGUAGAGGUGAAAUUCGUAGAUAUCGGGAGGAACACCAGUGGCGAAGGCGGCUCUCUGGGCAGAUACCGACGCUGAGACGCGAAAGCGUGGGAAGCAAACAG
rnacentral:rRNA from 1 species